AAUUAUUUCAUCUUAAAAAAAAAUGGAAAUUCUUUCAUUUUCAGGAGGGACGACGGGGUAUUGUAACCGUUGGUUACAUUCCUAACUUGUGGCUCCACCACAAUUCCAAAUCAAUCCCUCCCACGACUAGAUACCCCCGAUUCAAAUAUGAAUACAGUAUCAUAAAAUGAGACAGUUGGCACUCACGCAGUGACCUGAUGCCUGUUUCACUCUCACGGCCAUCCGUCACGCUGCAGUGACAGGUCAGUGUCGAGCAGUUUGAGCAGAGGCAAAAGAUACACAGCCCUGUUGUAAUCGCGUCGAGCCCACAGAUGGAGCGCAAGUGUUAUGCUCUACAGGCUGUAAAAACAUAAUGCGAACAACAUUAUUAAUAUUUUAUCGGAUUUUUGUAUAAAAAGCCCGUCAUUCCCUACAGCUGGCUCUUUGGCUGAACUUUUCUAGAAAGGUCUAGAAGUGCGCGCGUGUGUAGAUUUGUAUUAAAUUAAGAGGUUCAGUUAGUUUGUAUAAUUGCUAGCACUGAUAGAAAUUGUUAGUAAUGUGUUAGUAGCAGUUACAGUUGUUAAAAAUAUGUAUGUACAGUGUUAAUGAGUGUUAGUAUAAAGCUAAAACUAUUUCUAUAUUUAGUUCUUAGUUAAAACACGUUGAAAAGCAAACAACACAACAAAGAAAACGUUAAAACCUACAAGAAAAAGGUCCAAAGCAUGGGCCUUUUUCUAUGUUUUUGAACUACUCUCCAGCAACCUCGGUGGCGAGAAUGGCCACAGAGCGUCGGCCUUAGCAGCGCACCGUUGUGUCAUCAGCCAAAUCUGCCAUUGUCCAUGGCAUCCCGAAGGUUCAUCGCAAAGGAACCACGAAAUCCGGCCGUACUUCACGAUUCCGAAGUCCCGCCGUCAGAUUACGUCACCAAAGUAGAGACGUCAUGCCGCCAAUGAUCGCUAGCGCCUGUCGCUAGGAAAAACGCUUCCGAUGCCACUAUCCGCCAUCUUCGUCAGCAUCUGCUGAACUGGUUCAUCGUAGUUCCGAAUGGACUAUCAGUGUACGGGACCGGAGGUUCCCAAUCUAAACCGCAAGUA